CCGAACCGUCGACACGAGUUGUUGCUGGCCCCUCGGGGCAUGUGCACGCUCUGUUUACAUAUCCACUCACACCUGUGCACUCUCUGUGGUUCUGUGGCCUGAGGGACCAUGUCCCUCUGCUGCGGUUCCACGUCUUUAUACACGCCCUGUAGUGAAGUCUCAUGGAAUGUGUGCCGCGUUUAACGCAAUGAAAUA
rnacentral:misc_RNA from 1 species